rnacentral:rRNA from 1 species
UCAGGCCUAACACAUGCAAGUCGAACGAGGUUCAUUCUUUCGCUUACUCUCGGGUAAGUUGAAUGGACUGCAGUGGCGGACGGGUGCGUAACGCGUAAGAACUUACCUUUUGGUGGGGGAUAACAGUGGGAAACUGCUGCUAAUACCCCAUAAUGCUGAGGAGCUAAAAGUGAAAACUGCCAAAAGAGAGGCUUGCGUCUGAUUAGCUAGUUGGUGGGGGUAAGGGCCUCCCAAGGCGACGAUCAGUAGCUGGUCUGAGAGGAUGAUCAGCCACACUGGGACUGAGACACGGCCCAGACUCCUACGGGAGGCAGCAGUGAGGAAUUUUCCGCAAAGGGCGAAAGCCUGACGGAGCAAUACCGCGUGGAUGAAGAAGGCCUGUGGGUCGUAAAAUCCUUUUCUCAAGGAAGAAGUCCGACGGU